UAACGGGCAGGAGAACGAGAAGCCACUAGGCUUCUGGUUUUAGACACGUUUAAACGUACUUUCAUAAUUUCUUUAUUAAUUCGGUGAAGUCGAUGAAGAGUCGUUAAAUGACUCGAUAUUUUUGCUACGUAUUUGCUUGUCGUUAUUUACUAUCUAUCCCGGAGAAAGUGUCAGAUGAGGCGGUAAAUCAGUGAAUAUUUAAUGCAGAUGUCUUAAGAAGAGCUCACUGAGGCCACAACCCUUAUGAAGAAUAAAAGAGCAAAUGCCCCUUGAUUUUGUUUUUCAGUGCCUCCCCUGCUGUGAAAACGAGGCCUAUUGAUCCUUUGACCUUGCUGAUUUCACAUAAGAGGUGUCAGAAAAGUUACCUUAGGGAUAACUAGCUUGUGGCAACCAUGUGUCGACAUCGACGUUACUUGAGACAUCAUUCGAUGUUUGCUCUUUAUAUCACCGCGAAGAAGAAAUUGCCUAGUGUUGGAUUGUUCAUCACUAAUAGAGAACGUGAACGGAAUUUAGACCGUCGGGAGAGAGGUUAGUUCUGUCCUACUAAUGACAAUACCGUUGCAAAAGUAAUCACGCUCAGUACGAGAGGAACCGCCGAUUCCGAUAAUUGGUUUGGGAAACUAAUCGAAAGGCCAGUGGUGCGAGUCUAUCGCUAGUGUGAUUAUGGUUAAACGCCUCUAAACCAGAAUCUGAUCCAAACCGAAAACAAAAUUAGACUC
rnacentral:ncRNA from 1 species